GUCAUAAUUAAUAUAAGGCACAUUAUUUUUAAAAUUAAACGCACAAUUAAUAUCUACACAUAUUAGGAGGACUGGAAAAUUGGAGAGGAAAUCACUUUAAGCUUCUUCCUAUUUACCGAAAUGCAUGAAAUGCACGCAUUAUGUAAAAUGCAGUAUAAGCCUAAGCAGUGUUUUUAAUCUCCCAACCUAGCAACGAAGAAGCGUCAAAAUAUACCAACUUAUUAAACAUUAAUCGUCCUGUCAGAAAUCCAAUUAGACGGAUAACAGGCCAGCAUUUAAAAAUUAGCACUUCCUUGUUUGGGAAAGGAUAGUGGACUGACAGGUUAUAAAAUAGGCUAUACCAUGUUGAAAUGACUGUAGGGUGUGAUAGUGAGCGAUUGUGAAUUUACGUUUAUAUGUGUGCAUCGUCGAACUCAUACAAAUGACCCGAUAUUGUACUAUAUAUGUACGACCAAUAAUGAAACAAAUCGAACCUAGUUUUCACAAUGAUUUUCAAUACAUGUUCCAUCUCUUUCCCGUAUUUGCCUAAAUGCAAAUCUAUGGCGGCCAUAACUAUGUGAAAUUAGGUAUUUCACAACUUAAAUUUUCGAUGAUGAAAUUGUCUUGUAUAAAUCCAAAACCAUGGCAGCAAUGGAUCCAGUACGAGUAAAACGGUUUACAGUUCAUUUUUGAGCAAAACUUUAAGCGUAAAAAAGUUUCACCAUGAGGAUCACACGAAUUGAACCCAAUCUGGUUGCUUUGGCCGAGAAAUAUAAUGUG